AUAGAACGCUGGCGGCAGGCCUAACACAUGCAAGUCGAGCGGAUGAGGAAAGCUUGCUUUUCGAUUCAGCGGCGGACGGGUGAGUAAUGCCUAGGAAUCUGCCUGUUAGUGGGGGAUAACUCGGGGAAACUCGGGCUAAUACCGCAUACGUCCUACGGGAGAAAGUGGGGGAUCUUCGGACCUCACGCUAACAGAUGAGCCUAGGUCGGAUUAGCUAGUAGGUGAGGUAAUGGCUCACCUAGGCGACGAUCCGUAACUGGUCUGAGAGGAUGAUCAGUCUAACUGGCACUGAGACACGGUCCAGACUCCGACGGGAGUCAGCAGUGGGGAAUAUUGGACAAUGGGCGAAAGCCUGAUCCAGCCAUGCCGCGUGUGUGAAGAAGGUCUUCGGAUUGUAAAGCACUUUAAGUUGGGAGGAAGGGUAUUCACCUAAUACGUGGGUACUUUGACGUUACCAACAGAAUAAGCACCGGCUAACUCUGUGCCAGCCGCCGCGGUAAAAC
rnacentral:rRNA from 1 species